AGAGUUUGAUCAUGGCUCAGAACGAACGCUGGCGGCGUGCUUAACACAUGCAAGUCGAGUGCACAGUUUCCCUGCCGCAAGGCAGGGGGAUGGGUGCACGGCGCACGGGUGCGUAACACGUGGGCAAUCUGCCCUCCGAUGGGGAAUAACCCCGCGAAAGCGGGGCUAAUUCCGCAUAACAUUCCCUGGACUUCGGUUCGGGGAUUCAAAGCCGUAAGGCGUCGGAGGAGGAGCCCGCGCCCGAUUAGCUAGUUGGUGAGGUAACGGCUCACCAAGGCAAUGAUCGGUAGCUGGUCUGAGAGGAUGGCCAGCCACACUGGAACUGAGACACGGUCCAGACUCCUACGGGAGGCAGCAGUGGGGAAUCUUGCGCAAUGGGCGAAAGCCUGACGCAGCGACGCCGCGUGGGGGAUGAAGCUUCUCGGAGUGUAAACCCCUUUCGACUGGGACGAAUGCCUCGCAAGAGGAGUGACGGUACCAGUAGAAGAAGCCCCGGCUAACUAUGUGCCAGCAGCCGCGGUAAGACGUAGGGGGCCAGCGUUGUUCGGAAUUACUGGGUGUAAAGGGUUCGUAGGCGGUGCGGCAAGUCGGGAGUGAAAUCUCUGGGCUUAACCCAGAGGCUGCUUCCGAAACUGCUGUGCUCGAGUGUGGGAGAAGCGCGUGGAAUUGCAGGUGUAGCGGUGAAAUGCGUAGAUAUCUGCAGGAACACCCGUGGCGAAAGCGGCGCGCUGGACCACAACUGACGCUGAGGA
rnacentral:rRNA from 1 species